rnacentral:rRNA from 1 species
AGUUCGGAACGGAUAAACGCUGAAGGCAUCUAAGCGUGAAGCCGCCCUUAAGAUUAGAUUUCCCUUACCAUAAGGUAGUAAGUCCCCUUAUAGAUCACAAGGUUGAUAGGCGAAAGGUACACGCAUGGUAACAUGGUCAGCUGAUUCGUACUAAUUGGACGAGGGCUUGUCCUU